rnacentral:lncRNA from 1 species
UUCUUUUGAGAUUUGGUAAGUGCUCUUUUAUCAGUGAACCGCAGUGUAGUGAACCCAUAUUAUAUUGAAAUGGAUAAUGGGAACUACAUACACAAAUAUAAGAGUUCAUCUUCAAAUAAUUACAAAUGCUUAAAACAAGUAACCAAAUCUUCCAUGGGAAGAAGAAAUAAAAAAGGGAGAAGGGAGGGAGGUUCCACAUCUAUCCUCUAAGAAACUAAGGAAAAUAAAAUAAACCAAGUUCAUAGCUUAAUGCACCGACCCGCAUAUUUUCCGCCCAAAUUUGCCGCCUAAAGGGCUGCAACACGAGCCAAACUUGGGUGGCAAAGACCAGAACGUGGAGGCAACAAUCCGACAGGCUGUCCGGGCCCUCCUAGGGGCCACAUUCUACCAGCAAAGUCACAUACAACACAACUAUGCAGGACCACAGUCUGCCAGGACAAUCAUGGAAGCAUCUCACUGCCAGCAAGGGCAUGUGAUGCACAGCUGGGUAGGGCCACAUCCUGUCUGGGUGAACAUGGGAGCAACUGUCUGCCAGCAAGAACUGGGGCACAACAGCUGGACAAGUCAAUUGGCACAUGGGCUGCCAACACUUUCCUGGAAAUCACAUGAUGCCAGCACAAAGCAGUGCACCACAGCUGGACGGGUCCACAACCAGCCUAGCUACCUGUGGACAUUUUCUGUAUAUAUACACAUGUAUAAGCCUUGUUAGAAGACAGAUCUCUUUACUUGUAUUUCUUUCUUUUGUAUAUGAAUUAAAACCCCGAAAAUUGGCCUUGGUCUCCUAUCUUUGUGUGUCUUUCAUUUCGUUAUCCUUUCAACCUUUGAGUUUGUGUGAUUGCCUUGGUCCAAAGCACGAUAUUGUGCUUGUUUGUUGGAACGGACUGAAGCAAGAGUAGUAGUCAGGCUAUCUUGCUGUCCUCACGGGUUACCAGAAAAACGGUUCUGUGACAAUUGGUAUCAGAGCGAGGUUAAUCGACCAUGGCAACUGAUGGAGAUAACGUUAAUUUAGACAACAUUCGUGGCAGAGACGAGUCACCAACAAAACGGCAGAAAUCGAAGAAGAGAGGAACAAGCAAAGUGCGAGAUCCCGCCAUAGCCGUAACAAGUGAGGCGCCAGUUCCUGAGCUACCCCCACAACGGGUUAGCCGUGGUGAAGAUUGUGAGGCUUCUGCCUCAAAUCUCUUAAGCGUGAGAAUGGAUCUCACAGAAGCUGGUUUAGAUGCUUUAAAUCGGCACAUGGGAGAUGUUGAACACAACUUCCGUUCGCUUGAGUCUACUACUCUAGAUGGACUUGAUGAAGUCAAAGAGACGAUAGAUCAAGCAAUUUAUGAGCACAAGGAAAGACUGACCAACCUUGAGCUUAAGCUGACCAGGGCUGUAUCGGCGUUGCACGGGAAAAUUGAGAUCCUAAAGCAACAACUGAAGGCAGUAAAGUUAGCCGGUGGCACUGGUCAUGUGAUAGUGCGUGAGACCAAAAUCGAGGAUCCAAAACCGAAGGAGUUUAGGGGCGAACAAGACGCUUAAGAAGUAGAGAACUUCAUCUGGAAGAUGGAAGACUACUUUGAGCACCUUUGCAUCGUUGAUGAGGCUGCCAAGAUCCGGGAAGCGACGAUGUAUCUUGCCGAUACCGCCAUGCUAUGGUGGAGAAGGAAGAAAGCCGACAUGGAAAAGGGAACUUGCUCCAUCAAGAGCUGGGAACAGUUCAAGUUCGAACUGAAGCGCCAGUUCUAUCCCCAAAACGUUGUCAAUGAGGCACGUAGGAAGUUGAGAGAGCUCAGGCAAACAACUUCCAUAAGCGAGUACGUGAAGGAUUUCACUAAACUCAUCCUGCAGAUUCCGAACCUGGCAAGCGAUGACUUGCUAUUCACUUUCAUUGAUGGCCUUCAAGACUGGGCCAGACAGGAAUUGCAGCGACGUCAAGUCCAAGACGUCGAUGAAGCUAUCGCGGUGGCUGAGUCCUUAAAUGAUUAUAGGAUAGAAGCUACAAAGGCAAGGGACACCAACUUCCAACCGGAUGGAGACCAUGGAUAUCGGGACAAGGGCAAGCAAGUUGCUGCCCCUGACCGCGAUUCCAGAGAACAAGGCAACAAGGCGCACUGGCGCGACCGGUACAACCAAAGGAGGAAGGAAGCUGGUUCCCGCAAUGGUUGUUACAUCUGCAAGGACACUAAUCAUGGCUACAAGGAUUGUCCUUCUUUAAAGAAACUCGGUGCCAUAAUUACGGCCGAGCGGAGGCUAACAACGGAAAGAAUCCAAGCAGAUGAACAAGCCAAAGAACAACCACCAGCCAUAGCUCAUCUUGGCAACAUGAUACUGGGCGCAGUAGUAGCCGAAAAGCCUACUUUGAAGCAAGCCGCCCAAGGGAAGCAUGACAUUGUCAAACUGGUUCACGCGUUAGGCGACGAUGUGAUUGGCAAGGAGUGCCAAUCAGGGGAGCCAGGAUCACUGUUCGUGGAUGCACAAUUGAACGGACAAUAUGUCCUUAUCAUGGUAGACACCGGAGCGACACACAAUUUUGUGUCCGAAGCAAAGGCUAAGUCACUUGGCCUUGUGUUCGGUCCUAGCAGUUCUGUACUGAAGACGGUAAACGCCAAACCCACCAACGUGAAAGGGAUUGCUCGCAAUGUACAACUCAACUUAGGAGCUUGGCAGGGAAACGUGAGUUUCUUUGUCGCUUCCUUGGACAUAUUUGAUCUGGUACUGGGGCUGGACUAUUGGGAUGCAGUGAAGGCGUUCAUAUGCCCAUUUCUCAACCAUAUCUAUAUUUAUGACCCAAGGAGUCCAUGUGUGGUACCGACAGUUCGGGUGCCGCAAGUUGUUAGUCUGUUGUCCGCGAUUCAAAUCGUGAAAGGCUUCAAGGAAGAGGGAGCACCGGUUUUGGCAGUCGGGGACAGAGACUAAGGAGGUCAAGAUUGACGAAGCCUUGACUCCUUGUGAACAGCGAGUCCUUAAGGGUAAGGACUUCAUUCCGUGGGCAAAGCCGCCUGCCAUGGGUUCGUACAUGGCACCUCCAAAGUUGGAGGAUUCAAGGAAGCAACCUGGAAAGUUGCUUGGGUCGAGGCAUGUCAGUCCGUUAAAGGCACCUUGUAGAGACAAUGGUGAUAUGGAGCGGAGGCAAUCCAGGCGACCAAAUGUUUUUGUAACCCCUCCGGUCGUCAACAAGGAAGUCGAGACCAUUAUCAACCAUCGGGUGAUACAAGGAGUAGGUUGGGGCAAUUCAAGCGCCCAAUUUCUUGUCCGUUGGAAGGGGCAACCGCCAAAGGGGGCAUCGUGGGAAAAAUAUGAGGCGUUAGGGCCGUUCGAAGAUCAAGUUCACGACUACUUGAACCGUUGUGGCGCCGCGGUCGUCGCCAUUUCAAGUGGGGGAGAGUGCACCGACCCGCAUAUUUUCGGCCCAAAUUUGCUGCCUAAAGGGCUGCAACACAAGCCAAACUUGGCUGGCAAAGACCAGAAGGUCUUUGCACGUGGAGGCAACAAUCCGACAGGCUGUCCGGGCCCUCCUAGGGGCUACAUUCUACCAGCAAAGUCACAUACAACACAACUGGGCAGGACCACAGUCUGCCAGGACAAUCAUGGAAGCAUCUCACUGCCAGCAAGGGCAUGUGAUGCACAGCUGGGUAGGGCCACAUACUGUCUGGGUGAACAUGGGAGCAACUGUCUGCCAGCAAGAACUGGGGCACAACAGCUGGACAAGUCAAUUGGCACAUGGGCUGCCAACACUUUCCUGGAAAUCACAUGAUGCCAGCACAAAGCAGUGCACCACAGCUAGACGGGUCCACAACCAGCCUAGCUUGUGGACAUUUUCUGUAUAUAUACACAUGUAUAAGCCUUGUUAGAAGGCAUAUCUCUUUACUUGUAUUUCCUUCUUUUGUAUAUGAAUUAAACCCCGAAAAUUGGCCUUGGCCUCCCAUCUUUGUGUGUUUUUCAUUUCGUUAUCCUUUCAACCUUUGAGUUUGUGUGAUUGCCUUGGUCCAAAGCACGAUAUUGUACUUGUUUGUUGGGACGGACUGAAGCAAGAGUAGUAGUCAGGCUAUCUUGCUGUCCUCACGGGUUACCAGAAAAACGGUUCUGUGACAUUAAGCCUAAUAGAAUGUUUCCUAUUGUAUAUAUAGGUAUAUGCUCCAUCUAACCCGGGUCCCAAAUGUAAUUUGCUAAGUUCCCAAAUGUGCCCUCAGCCUUAGUCUUUUGGUCAUUUUGAUUCAUAACAAUUCCUCCGCCCUCAAAAAAAGAACCUUGUCCUCAAGGUUCAAGUGGAUCAAUGUGAGUAUCUCAGUAGUGUCAAGCUGCAAAACACUACAACUGAAUUUGUCAAGACUCAAACAUUUGUCGAGAGUUGUUGCAACAAGAGAAAUGUCAUCAUUGUCUUCCUGGUCAAUCCAACGGAGGAAAUAUAGAAAUAUCUGGAUGACGAUGAUAACAUUCAACAAGGAAUCCAAAGCGACAUUAGCAUUUUGAACUCUCUUUUCACUUGAUUUGUGCGUAACAUCAAAUGUGCCAAUGAUAAGUUGAUUUGCCUCCUCAAUGCUGCUAAAGUUUUCCAGAAUUUUUACUGGUGCAUCUGAUGGAAAUUUAAAUUUAGUCAAGAAACGACACUUGAAUAAACAAAGUACAUGAUGAAAUUUCUUGAGCACGUCAAACGAAAAGUUAAACUUGAGGGCCUCUCUUAGUUUGUUGUCAUCCUGGUGCAGAGAGAUAUCAUAUGCUAGUUGUAACAAUCUUCUAGCUACAAAAGCAUCUCCAACACUGAAGGUGUCCACAGAAUCCAGCUUUAAAACCUUAACUUCGUCCACAUAAUUCCUUGGUAUAAUGGAAACAAACUUCACGGCCUUUCAUGACAAGAAGUAACCUCAGAUUUGGACGGCACAACUUAGGAAGAACAACGUUAUAAUGUGAAUCUUCUCCUUGUGCCAAAAAGUAAUUCUACUCUUCACCUAUCUUAAUUAUAUUAGCAUUUUCACAUAUGCCAAGGAUAGCUUUUCUAGCACCUGAUGCCAAUAGCUUCAAAUUGGAAACAAUGGACAAGACCACAUUAGCAUUCUUAGCAGCUUUUGUGGCAUGGAGCUGGACUAAUUUGUAAGGUUGAGCAACUGUCUUUGCAAAUAUUAUUUUGCCAACUUCAGGCUCUCUAUAUAGAACGAUCUAUGUAAGAGGCUGGAUACCAAUGUCUUCAGACAGCUUGGGGUGAGUCAAAGGACACUCAACGACUUCUUUAAUCUCCUGAUUCUGCGCGUCUGAUCCACCAAAAUCAGCAUAUAACUCUUAAGGAGGUUUUUCAACCUUCAUGACAGACACCACGGCAUCGACUUCAUCUUGUCGAAGCCCAACAACAUAUAGAACCUCUGUAUGUAUCCAAGUAGCACGAGGUUCCAAAUGGUCUUUUUCCGAAAAGGACAAGAUCUUAAUGUGACACCAGUAGUCGAGUCUCUGUCUAGUGUCAAUGAAUUCCGUGUCAUUCAAGUCUCCGUUAUCUGUAAUCCAGGUACCUCGUUUACUGCGUAAAUCAGUUUGGAAAGAAUUUCCAUCUUUGUGGCAUAUCCGUGCAUGUAUUUCCGACACCUCAAACCAUAUGCCAUCAGCACCAACCAAAAGAUCACCUGUAUAUUGCUGAUUUGCUGUCCAUUCUCAAGAAUCACAGUAACCUCAUCCCCGCAGACUUCUUCACUAACCUCCACAGAAUGUUCACCCCUCUUUUGUUGCUUGCCAUUGCCAACUUGAAUUUGAUGCGUUGAUAAAGCUAGUAUGAAGUCAUUUACACUACAACCAAUCAAGCUAGCAAUAUUUCUAAUAGCUUCACUUUGCACCCUCCAGUUCAGGAACUUCUUUAAAUACUCCAAGAACUCGUGAUUCUUAAUAGAAACAAGAGCAUAUGAAACUUUUUCCAGCGCUGGUGUGAUAGCGUCCAAUUGGUCUUUCAAUGAGCCUAAGGUCUUCUCACAAAUUCUAGAAUAAGGUUUCGCUCCAAGGCUUACUAGCGGCCUAGAAAAUUGAAUGUUGAGGGCUAAUAAGCGUACUUGAAUCUUAGCAUCAUGUGUAUGAUAAUCAAACAUUGACAUGAUGUCAGUCUUGAGGUAAGCAUGUGCAACAAUAGCAGCAAACUUCAGCAAGUGUGUUGCAACUAACAUUCGCACCAUCGGCAUGUCCUCUUGACACAUUUGACCGUAAGUAGAUCGAAGUUCUGCCGUCAACAUAUCUGGGGCACUUGAGUAAGCAAUAUGAGAAAGUCCACAAGCAGGAACUCUAACUGUGAACCAGUCACCAGCUGCCAACCUCUUUUCAAGGUAGAACCGAUUAAACAAUUUACUUUCACUCGUGGGGCAUCCAAUAAAUGGGAGAUCCGAUUGAAAACUAUUAUCGAACAUUUUGGCAACAUCGCGUGAGUGUCCAUCAUCUGAAUCGGGAUCAAAUGGAAAAUGAAGCAACAUACGGAUAAUCACAUCGACCGUUAUUGUUCUAGCCAACACAGUGUUACCACUUUCAAGGAGACCAGUAAAUAAUACUGUAUUUACAAACGGAUCACGAAGACGAGUGCAACGCUUGGGGUCACGUAGGUAGUGAACAAUUUCCUUCAGAUCAUCGUGUACCUCAGCAACACCCUUACUGUCAUCAUAAUGGACAGUGAUUCUCUCAAGCUGGAGAGCAGAAUCACCAUUACAUUGGCUGGUGGAAUCAAUGCCAUGCUCAUUAUAAACAACUUCCCAGAACUUGGGGCAGUAGCUUCCAUUGGACAUUAUGUCGAGCACCUGGUGUCCAAGACUUGCACAAUACCCCGGAGACAGUCUGCUAUGGGAUUUUCCAACAUCUCAGGAGGUACCUUGGAAUUGUCCAGCAAGCCUGAGAUUUCGGCGAUCAAAUCAGAAUCAUUGUCGCCGACACAGACUAUCCCAGUACUGUCCGUUGUAUCUUCUACAGUGACCUCCUCUGUUUUUGCAUUGUCCAAAGCCAUGGAGUCCAAUUUCAGCUCCUCCUGCACCAGUGAUUGUAUACGGCAAAUGGUAGAGAUCAGACGAGAAUUACUUUCUUGCAUCACUGUCACCAAUUCUUGCAGCGCCUUCGCCGAUUCGAAGAGGUUGUUGAAUUGAGCGUUAUGCAUGGUAGAAAGGUAGAGAGGCAUGGAGUAAGAACAACGAGAGCACCAAUGUAGUGAACCCAUAUUAUAUUGAAAUGGAUAAUGGGAACCACAUACACCAAUAUAAGAGUUCAUCUUCAAAUAAUUACAAAUGCUUAAAACAAGUAACCAAAUCUUCCAUGGGAAGAAGAAAUAAAAAAGGGAGAAGGGAGGGAGGUUCCACAUCUAUCCUCUAAGAAACUAAGGAAAAUAAAAUAAACCAAGUUCAUAGCUUAAGCCUAAUAGAAUGUUUCCUAUUGUAUAUAUAGGUAUAUGCUCCAUCUAACCCGGGUCCCAAAUGUAAUUUGAUAAGUUCCCAAAUGUGACCUCAGCCUUAGUCUUUUGGUCAUUUUGAUUCAUAACACGCAGUGUUGUUAAUCUGACACUCUUUAUCAUACAUGAUAAUCAGUAUUUUAUAGACGGUGUGUCAUAGCAUUUCUUG